UGGUAGCAGCCAUUUUCAGCCUGCAUUGGAAAGGGAACACUCAUGCUCUGAACAGCAGCAGCAACAGUGUGAGGAUAACCCCAGUGUGGGCAGGGGGCUGACUCAUCUCUCCAGAAGAUCAACGCUGUUUAUUAAUCACUGCUCCUUUGAAGUGAAAAAACGGAGAAAACCUCUCAUGGCCAAUUGUUGUGAUUAACCAUCUAAUUGUUCUACUGUCCCUGUGUCCAUCUUCACUGUCGGCAGAAGAAUGGCAGCUCUUCAGAGUGAAGUCCUCUGCUUGUUCUAAAACAUGCAGGGAGUCAAUUCAUGGAAUGGAACCAAUUUCUUGUCCCUUCCAACUGACCCUCCAGUCAUAUUUUUCAUCAUGGGAGAUGGUCCCACAAGUGAUGGAGAAUGUCUCAAUAUCCUUUUCUGGGAGAAGACCCAUCAGACUGGGCUGCAAGGGCUUGUUGAAUUGCAGAAUCACAGCCUCUCCCAUCAGCUCCGAGCGUGCACAUCCCAGAUAUGGCUGGUGUAGAGCACAGGAUUUUGGAGGGAGCUGGCGCUCCUAGCCCUGGCUGUGUGAAUGUCUUCUCUUCAGUGCACAUGGGUUUAUAAAAGGGGCUAAACAUUGUUGAUGCUCUAUGCCUCCUAGAGUUUGCUUGUGUUUGCUUGAAAUACUAGGCUAGACUUAAAUCUUGGGACCUGGCAGGGAAUACGUGGGUGAGCUUUAGUUUGAUCUGCAAUAAAAGUAAGUAAUAAGGAAGAAAAUCACUUUGAUAUUUAUGUAUCUGUGAAUAUGGGAAAGCAGGAGAAGUGCAUCUUGGCAAGCAAAAUAUGAAGGAAAAUGGUAUCAGUGGAGGACAGUUAGUUCUGGAAAUUUUUGCUCAAUAAUUCAUUCCAGACCAGGUCCAGCUAAAUGUUCCAUUUCAGGUACAGAUUUCAUAAAAAUACAUUUCACUAGCAUUUCAAGCCAUUUCUGACUAUAUCCAACAAACAAAAAAGAAAUUUAUGAAAUGACAAGUAGCUUAAAGCCAGGGCACACUUGCUCAAUCUCAAUGACAUUGCUGUUUCCUUCCAUACCACAGUGCACAUGGUGAGCUUUGUGGAAGC